UGGAUUCAGGAGACACAGGUGAUUCAAAGGAUGACCACAGAGCCAGAAAUGCCCAGAAGAUAAGUAAAUGAAUACAAGCUCAUAACAUCAAGUCCUCAAAAGGGAACUGGAGAUGACCAGGCAACACCAACUUUGGCCAACUACUUCUGGUCCCCAGGAAGAUGCGAGGGAAGAAACACUUCACAGGAAAGAAAAACUUAACACUUCUCUUCAAAAUUAAUAAAGAUCAGAUUUGACUGGGGGAGACCUCCUGAGAUCUUGGCUGCAGACAAGAGGGAAAAGGCCAAAAAGACUACAAGACAGGUCUAAUCAUUUCACUGUGCAUAGAAUUGGCAAAAUCGUCUCCAGAAUCGUCAGAAGUCAUCUAUAUCUUCCAUCUCACUAGGAAUAUCUGAUAAAUUAUGGGUAAAUACUUCCAGAAGUGUAUCAGUUGCAUUGGUUUCUCUUUUUCUGAACGAGGGCA